ACCCCGGCGAGGGGAGUGAAAAAGAACCUGAAACCGUGUACGUACAAGCAGUGGGAGCCCCACCACUAAGCCAGUGGUGAACUCCACAUACGCAUCCUUUGCUGAGGAUACGGUUAACGGAGCGAAAGCGACGUUCAACCGCAAAACAAGCAGAGGGGGCUUAGUGGUGGGGUGACUGCGUACCUUUUGUAUAAUGGGUCAGCGACUUAUAUUCUGUAGCAAGGUUAACCGAAUAGGGGAGCCGUAGGGAAACCGAGUCUUAACCGGGCGUUAAGUUGCAGGGUAUAGACCCGAAACCCGGUGAUCUAGCCAUGGGCAGGUUGAAGGUUGGGUAACACUAACUGGAGGACCGAACCGACUAAUGUUGAAAAAUUAGCGGAUGACCUGUGGCUGGGGGUGAAAGGCCAAUCAAACCGGGAGAUAGCUGGUUCUCCCCGAAAGCUAUUUAGGUAGCGCCUCGUGAAUUCAUCUCCGGGGGUAGAGCACUGUUUCGGCUAGGGGGCCAUCCCGGCUUACCAACCCGAUGCAAACUGCGAAUACCGGAGAAUGUUAUCACGGGAGACACACGGCGGGUGCUAACGUCCGUCGUGAAGAGGGAAACAACCCAGACCGCCAGCUAAGGUCCCAAAGUCAUGGUUAAGUGGGAAACGAUGUGGGAAGGCCCAGACAGCCAGGAUGUUGGCUUAGAAGCAGCCAUCAUUUAAAGAAAGCGUAAUAGCUCACUGGUCGAGUCGGCCUGCGCGGAAGAUGUAACGGGGCUAAACCAU
rnacentral:rRNA from 1 species